GAUGAACGCUAGCUACAGGCUUAACACAUGCAAGUCGCGGGGCAGCAUGGGGGUUGCUUGCAAUCCCCGAUGGCGACCGGCGCACGGGUGAGUAACGCGUAUCCAACCUGCCCUUCACCACGGGAUAACCCGGCGAAAGUUGGACUAAUACCGUAUGUUGUCCAUUGACGGCAUCCGAUUUGGACGAAAGGCUUGGCGGUGAGGGAUGGGGAUGCGUCCGAUUAGCCAGACGGCGGGGUAACGGCCCACCGUGGCUACGAUCGGUAGGGGUUCUGAGAGGAAGGUCCCCCACACUGGAACUGAGACACGGUCCAGACUCCUACGGGAGGCAGCAGUGAGGAAUAUUGGUCAAUGGGCGUAAGCCUGAACCAGCCAAGUAGCGUGCAGGAUGACGGCCCUAUGGGUUGUAAACUGCUUUUAUGCGGGGAUAAAGUGGCCCACGUGUGGGCUUUUGCAGGUACCGCAUGAAUAAGGACCGGCUAAUUCCGUG
rnacentral:rRNA from 1 species